rnacentral:lncRNA from 1 species
UCGGUCAUCCAGGAGCACAUGCACCACCCAGAACUACAGGGACAGAAGGCUUUCGGCUUCUAACCUGAUCUGACGCUUAGAACUGUACUAAUGGUACAGAAAGAGGAGCCAGAGGAGCCUUUCAAAGAUCUCCUGAGUGAACAGAGAAAAAGGUGCCACUGCAGCCUCAGCUCAUCCAGAUUUUACAUUGCAUUUCUGUCCAUUUUGCACCCAUUUAUGAUAAGCGAUUGAAAAGUGGGGAAGAUGCUCAUAAUGAGGUGUAAGAUCUGUCUUCGAGUAUUUUCAUAUUGGAACAGCUUUGUAACUCUUCAGCACAUGGAGUUGGCUCUGAUCUGAUGCUGUUUAUGAGACCUUAUUUGUAAUGUACAGUGCUGUACCUGGAAAGGACCCCAUCCUAUGGCCGGCCUGAGUGCAGAGUAUGCCUCCCACUGCUUACAGCGCACAGCUCGGCCAUCAGGCUCCAGCCAGACCACAACAAGGCAAACAAGAGGAACGGACAACCCAUAUCUAACUUAACAAGUCUGACUUUCUCUAAGCUUGCCAGGCUCUGCUAACACAUCAAGUACAGCGGCAGCCCACAGCACCUGGUGCUACAGAGCGUAGCUGCGAGAACUCUGAACGAUUACAGCUUUGCCAUACUCCAGAUUUCCUGCUCGGGACUGCUAAGCGAUUACUCACCCGAUACUCUAGGACGAUUACUCAAAUGAAGAAACCGGACAAGACGUGAAGUUUCACCUCAGCCUGCCCGGCCCCCCGUGCGGCGGUGCCCAUCCCCGGCGCUUCUGCAGGCGCGGGGAUCCGGCGGGCCGCGAGGGGAGCGCCCCGGGCAGCGCCGGCGGCCGCGCAGAGCGGUAAUUGCCGCCGUGCCGAGAGAGCCCGGGCAUGGCACAAACCGCCCACAUCGUCUGAGAAGUAAUGAGGGCAGAUGUUUAUUAAAGGCUUCCUAACGAGUCUGUUAACUUCGCCGCCUCACUCGAGUAAGCUUCCGACAGGUACACGCGGCGAUUACUCGAGAGCGAGCGAGGAGCCGGAGAGAGGCACGAACAGGACAGAAAGGCAGAAGAGCCGCCAGGCGGAACCGGGCUCCUCGUGUGGAGGUGCGCGCGAGCCCGGCCCGGGGGCAGCGGAACCGCCUCAGAUCGGGCGGUGCGGGCGGCCGAGACCCGGGAUGGUGCCGGCAGCUCCGGAGCCCACCUGAGCCCCGGGGCUCCGCCCGCCGCUCACCUUCCGAAAGUAGCAGUCAUCCUCCGGGCAGCCGCGGGCCGGCAGGGCGUCCAUCAUCUCCGACCGAGAGAGCCGUCCUCCGCGGAGCUGCUGUGGGGAGCCGCGACCCUACGGGAAAUGUCGGCGCUGCCCCACGGCGCCGCCCGGCUCCACCCCCGGCAGGCGGGGAGCAGCUGCUCCGCCCCGCGGCCGUGCCUCUCGCUGCUCCGGCCGGUCGGCCCCGCGCGGCCACUCGCCUUACGGCUCGGGCUCGCCGUGGAGUGUUCGCGGCCGAGCAGUCCCGGCGUGGCGGAGCGAGGCCGAGACGCGGGCGGUGGCUGACGAGCGUGGGGCUCCUCCUCGGCCCGUGCUGCCCUGAGGCGUGGCGAGGUCCGGCCGGGACCCCCAGGCACCGCUCCCCUUCUGUCGCUUCCUCCGGCCUCCUCCCGUCCCCGUGCCAGAGCAGUCACCCCGGUUGGCCCCCGUGCCCCCGGGGCCGCCGGCGGCGCCGCGAUCGGUGCCCGUCUCAGGGAGGGGCGGCCUCGGCCUCCCGGCACCGCGCCGGGUGGGCUCCGGGCUCCGCGUGGGGACGGCUCACCGAGCUGAGCCGGGGAGCGCCGCAGGGCCCGGGCCCCGACGGGGGUGGCAGCGGCCCAGGGACGGACGGGAAAUGUCUUUGGGGUCAGCCUGAGACGUGCACAAAUCUGCCGUGUUCACAGCGCGAACGUCAGGUCUUCAAAAAAUUCCGCUGUGCAACCGGUUCUGCACAUGUUUCUGUUGGACACCCGAGUAAGGAAAUGGGCAGUAUCGGCUGCUAUUGCUACCCAGGCCUAAGCUACAGUUCCGUGGGCUUCCACGCAAGGAUGUUAAGCAUCAAAGUGCUUCAAGUGAUUAUUAGCAAACGUAUCCUGUCUUCUGGUUUCUGUCUUUCUGCAGCCAUAAUCUUCAGGAGCCAGGAAGGUGUCUGCAAAGACAACUUUUCUCUAUCAAAGGGAAAUAUCUUUGGAAUUACAUCCCGAAUUCCCAAAGCUCCCUUUGAAAGCAUGGGUGUCUGCAGGGAGCUGUGCAGAGCGCUGUGCCUGAGCUGUGCCUGCUGCUGUUAGAAGGAGGAGCACGAGAGUCAGCAGGUCAGAAAUGGGGAUCCAGAGGCACCAUGUUGGCUCUCUUGAGGUCGGUUGAAUUUUGUUCUUCCAGGCACCGUACUGGAAGAACGGUAAAAGGCACUACCUUUUACUUUUUUUUUCCCCACUAAUUCUAAAGAUACUGGAUCCACACAGCAAUUGGUAUGUUAAAGUAGAAAUAGGUUAAAAUGGGAAAGUAAAUUAACUUCCCUCAAUCUUUUUAAAUAGUGGGAACAUGUUUAAUAAUAUUUUUUCCACUGUUAGAAAACGUACUGACCUGAGAAAGAAAAAUAUUUGAAAAAAUCUUGCCAAAUGAGUGUAAAUCUCCAGUACGUGGUUGAAGUUAGUAGCAAUGAGAGACAAAUUAGCAAAUUGUCAGCAUAGGCUGUGCCAAAACAAUCAGGCAGUCAGCACAGCACUGCUUCUACUGGGUUUACUGAAAGUGGAUCUAACAUGAAGGGUAUAGCUAUUACUCCAAACAGAGUCCUAAGAGUUUGUAGCCUGGUUAAAGGGUCAGAUGGUUAACAGUGAGACAAGUGACUAUGACUGCGGUGUGUGUAAAACACAAAUAUGCAUAAGUUUCUGCAGAGAAUGGCACUGAAGAUAACUUACUUGUAGCAUAUCUCGGUGACAGACUGCAGACUGCAGCCUUUCUCAGUUGCUGGUGGAUACUUGGAAUCAAACAAAGUCAGCAGCGUUACACACAGUGAACUUCUCCAGCAAAUUCAAGAACCUGAGAUAGCUCUUACAGGCUUCCUCCCCCAUGGUGAGCACCCUGAGAAUAUCUUCCAACACCCUCAGAACUGCCAGAUUAGACUGUGCCUUGCCUUCGCUUUGAUAAGAGUACUUCAUGACUGUGUCAGGAUUUAUCUCUUAUUUCUAAGUAAGUCUCAGUAAGUUUUGCCUUUCUACAGAGUGCUCCUCUUAGUGAAUAUGAUUUUUUUCAGAAGACAUGCUGAUUGCAUGGUCUCAGUAGUUAGGAUUGAGCUAUGUAAUGAUGGGGUAGGAGCACUCCGUGACCCUGGAAUGUAAAUUGCAGUGUAGAAUGUUCCAAAAACUGAUUUAUCUCAGAAAAUAUGUCCCUACUCUUGGAACCGCUUGGUUAAAUAACUUGUUUCCAGGAGCUCUUUGGUUGCUAUUAGAAGUCUGAAAUAGAGGUGGGUUCACACCACAGACUUUCUCAGUUUCUCACAAUUGUAUUAAUCAGAGGGUUUGGUUUCCUGCACUGUAGGGAUUGAGCAAUAACAGGCUGGGAAUCGCUAACUCAUGCACUCAGAAAAAGAGAUCCACAGAGGCAGAUGUUUGGUUGGUUUCUGUAAUCUUAAGAGACCAAAUUCAGCAAACUGGUGCACAGGACAUGGCGCUGUCUCUGAGAAAGCAUCUUUUACCAGAUACUCAAGGAUUUGCAUCCAGUGAAAAUCAGUGUGUUGUGCCUAAAAUACUGAAGCUGUGAGCAGUUGAUGUUAUCUCUGCAUCAAAUCUCUCUCUUUGUUUUCCAGAACUCCGUGCUUCAGGCUUUCUGCAUUCUCACAGAUAAACCAGCCAGGUGAAGCAAACAAUGACUGCAUUGAAAACAGGCAUUGAAAGGCAGAGCUUGAGUUGUCCCAGUUUUUGUCCCUCAGAAGUCAAGGUGAGAGAGAGGUCAGAAUUGGAAUAGCCUUACCACAG